UGCAAUUUAAACUUUUAUAAAUACAAAAGAAAGAAAAAUGAGAUAUGUGACAAACACCUCUAAUUAGGUAUACUUGUAAACAACAUGAAGGGAAGUCUUCGCAUAUGCACAGUCAAGCUGCGACUCUUCAAGAACACCUCGACAGCUUGUUUGUGUAGCACUUGUAAAUGACAUAGUUCAAUAUCAUUAUUCCUAUUUACAUAUAGAUAUCUUUUUCACAAGUCAUAUAUUUCUCAGUUUCUCGAUAAUCAAACAGUUUCAAAGUGUAAAGGCUGUGUUCUAGAAAAUAAUAGUACAAAGGAUGUCACAUUAAAAAUGAUAUAAAAACGAAACACUCAAAAGAAGCGGAGAACCAAAAGAAAACAGACAACAGAACGUCCCACAAUUGAGAAGUAGUAGUAGUAGUGAUGGAAAAAAUUGCAGGAUGUGUGUGCAAAAUUGUACAGUUGACAAAAAUACUAUGAUUAUAUCUACAUAAUGAUUGCAUUACUUGUAAAGUGUUGAUAUAAAUCUGUGUAUGAUUCCAUAAAAAUGAGACACCUUUCUCUAACAGUUGGUCUACCACACUAAAUCUAAAACAUUAUACAGUUGUGUUUUUUUGUAUAAGAGAACAUUUUCACUGCACAGAUCAAAUUUAAUACACCGUUAGUUUAUUUUUUCCCACUCUCGUCUUGUACAAAUAAUGAGUUUCUUAACUUCUGAGAAAAAAAAGCAAAAAACAAAACAAAAAAAACAAAUGAAGAUAAAAGAAAAAC